UACAGAGGGGGCAAGCGUUGUUCGGAAUUACUGGGCGUAAAGGGCGCGUAGGCGGCCUUCUAAGUCGAACGUGAAAUCCCCGGGCUCAACCCGGGAACUGCGUCCGAUACUGGAAGGCUUGAAUCCGGGAGAGGGAUGCGGAAUUCCGAGGUGUAGCGGUGAAAUGCGUAGAGAUCGGGAGGAACACCAGAGGCGAAGGCGGACGACCUGGACAGGUACUGGACACUCAACUACGAAAGCGUGGGGAGCAAACAG
rnacentral:rRNA from 1 species